GGCUGCUCUGCUUUGGAUCCAGGCUUUUCUUCUGGAAAAUACAGAGUGUCUCUGAGACUGCAAGUGCAAGAAGCCAGUGCACUCCCCUGCCUCAGAUGCUGGGGCUGCAGACCCCAGGCGCCCUAGGGAGUCACUGUGGGAGCUCCCGCCUGGUUCCCCUCUUGCCCUCACCAUGAAUGACUGCCAGCUUGAGUUUGCUGAAACCUGGGAUUUUCCUAAAGCAGGAACUCCUCAGCACAACCUGGGAGCCUUCCCUAACCUAACUGACUUCCCUUACCACUGUCCCCCUGCUCCCAGAUGCCACCCUCUCCAAAUGGGUUUAAAACAGGAAUCGCUGUGACAUCAUAAGAGAUGUAUUUGAUCUCUGCUCCCGUUCCUGGAACACAGCUAGUAAAAUGCUUUUAACCUUUUGGGUGGGACAGCGGAGAUGGGAGCUCUUUUGUUACACUCUUUGGUCUUAGUUCCUAACACAAGACCUUUAAAAACCCUUGACUCUCCUGAGUGCCUUUCUGUAUGCUAAUGAGGCUCUCUGGCUGGGGAAGGACCAAGUUUGCUAUUAUAAACUGGAAUUUUCUGGCCCACACAGACCUCUGGAGUGUGAGCAGGGCUGGAGGAGUCCAGUUGACAAUGGCCAGGAACCUCACCAACUGUGCUUGUGGAAGAGAGCUUCUGUAAGCACUGGGAUGGACAACAAAAAGCUGAACAGCCAAUGAUUGGGCAGAGAAGACAGAAAGGCUGGACUUCUGAUCCCAGCUUGGGGUCCCAAGGAGAAGAGCAUGGUUGAAGGACUUUACCGUGAGGCAGAUGACUGUUCCGGAGAAGAAGGGCCAAGAGGCAGGUGGAGAAAGAAGAAGAUGGUAACGAUGAGGUUGAGCAUGAGGAGGAGUUCUCCAUGAGGACAGACAGCUGCAGCAGAGUGAGCCAAGGAGACAAAAAGUAACUUGGGGCAUGGGGCCGGGACGUAGUGAAGAUAGCAUAGAGGGUUAGGAAUACCUGCUCAGUUAUUGUGCCUAAAGCUUGUUGAAUAAAUUUCAGGUCUUGGUGUUAAUCAUUUGGGAUUUAUCAGGUUUAGAAAACACUGCUCCCUUUAAAUUUCAUGCUAUGAGGGAGAGGAGGAGGAGAAAGGAGGAGAGAAGGAAAGGGAGGAAGAGGAGUCAUUUGUCAGAAGUGGGUGGGCGGCAGCUGUUCUGGGUGGCCUUUCCUAUUCCCUCUCUUCUCCUUCUCAUCUAGUCCAACACUCGGAGGAGGCCAUUAACCGGAGCCUUGCCCCUAUUGCCUUAGAGAUCUGUAGGACUUCAUAAGGAACUUACGGCUAAUAGAGACUGUCUGUGGUAGCUGAGACCUCCAGAGCUUUGCUGUGAAGCUGGCUUGCCUUGGGGGCUGGGAACUAGGACAAUGCUGGUUUAUUUCUUGCAUUUUUUGUUGUGGUUUUUAACAUAAAUAGUAAAAAUACUUGAAGUUUGCCUUUUGACGUUAUUAGAUGUGCAAAAGUUAGUAAAGCAGUUAAUAAACGCAGUGACACAGGCUAAUAGACUAUUGAAUAAAGGUGGCCUCCCUAGGGACUGGACUAUGAGGAGGUGUGGCCUUGUUGGAGGAAAUGUGAGUCAUCCCUUGCUGCUGCCCUGUGAUCUGGAUGUAGAACUCUCAGCUACCUCGCCAGCAGCCUGCCUGCCUGCGCCGCCAUGCUUCCCACCGCGACACUAAUGGGCUCUGAAGUGUAAGCCAGUUUUCCUUUACAAGGGUUGCUGUCAUCGUGACGUCUCUUCAGAGCAAUGAAAACCCUAACUAAUACACUUACCAUCUCAGUUCCUUUUACGAAGAGAUCAGCAAAAAUCCACACAUUGAGUAAAAUUCCAGUACAAAUGAUUUCAUUAGCUCUAGUUUUCCAUGUACCUCAAAUCUCUGGGUGUUUUAUCUUGUGUAUAUCUUCUGUUUUGCAUUUUUUGACUUAGGCCUCUUCCCUCCACCAUGACAACCAUUCUAAGUGUCUGCUUCUGCAUAUUUGAACUCUUUCCAAAAAGAAAAUAUCAAAUAGCUGAGAAGUCUUUUUUCACUUGGCACAAUAUCCUUCAGGCUCAUCAACAUGAGAAAUGGCGAAAUAUCCAUGAUAUAUACUAAAUACAUACUUAAUUUUAUUGAUUCAUGUGUUAAUGAGUUAAUUCAGCUGUUUCUACUAUCCCGUGUGUUUGAACAAUGCUCUUAUAAUUAUUUUUUGCAUCACCGGAAAAACCUCUGUAUAGGAAAAGAUAAUAAAACCGCACACAGAUGAGGCAGACAAGCUUAGAGAAUAACUUAGGCACCUGGGACUCCACUUGGCAGGGGCAUAUGCCUAUCCUUCUUCUAACAAAGGACACCACAAUAACCUAAAACCCUUGCCUGCAUCAAGCUGCACUACUGUCCUGCUUCAAACACUGCAUUAAGUUUUCCCUCCUAGAAACCCUUACUAAGUCCCCAUACAUGGUCGUUCCUAUUCCUGAACAUAUCUAGGAUUAGGAGAUAGGGGUCUGACCUAACCUCAGGUGGUUUAGGGUACAUGUGUCUUCUGAAUCAACUUUUAGGGAAUGGUUCUACUUGUCACUUUUUGUAUAUGUAUUAAUUGGGCAUGAUUAGAGGCAUGAAUUAUGGAAGGUACCUGUCAUUAAAGUCAAUGCAUCACGAGAAGGGAUCUUGGCAGUGAACAAAGGCUUACAUAACUCAGUCGCAUCACUUUAGAUGGGGAAUUGCAUGCACUACCAGUGAAGAGCUGACUCUUCCUUCUCUGAGACCCAUACUAGGCAGCCCCAAACAGCACCUUGAGGCCCCCGUGUGCUCUAGCUCAGCAGUGCACCUGUAGCACAUCUGGCCACUACUGUCAGUGUGCAUCAGAGUAAAGAGUCUCUGCUUCUUUCCAAUUUACUUGUUACCCAUUCUUUGAACAAGACACCAAGAACCCGAAAGCGGUCCAGAUGGUGGCCACAAGUAAUGCAUAGACAGGUGGGUUGGAGGGGUGGAGGGCGACACAGUGGAAGAGAGUACAACUUUGUUUUGUCCCUGGGCCCAGCUGUGCUGAGGCACCUCCUUCCCACUGCUUAGAGGCUCAAAUGUCUCCCUGCUAUUACCAAGUAGAGAAAGGUGGCCAUAGGAGAGCGUGAGGCUACCUUUAUUUCCCUUUUCAGUUUGUGUGAGUGUUGCUAUUUUCCAUCCAAACAAGAAUCCUGCUGGAUCAGGAAAGAUCCCAGGAUUUUUGGAUUCAAGUCCAGCAGGGAUGUUUGAGGUUUGAACCACGGUUCUUUGGUUCUUUUGAGUACUAGAUCUUUGGGAACAAGGAACCAAAGAACACUCCUCCUGUUUCCUGCCAUCUAGUUUUCUGUCUACUCAAGUUCAGGGACCCCGCAAAGGGGGACACUCCAAGAUGAGCAUCCCUGCUAAGUGGCUUGUCCAAGCCCAAGUUCCCGAGGCUAGGAGGAGAGGAUAUGCCUAUUCUAGCUGGAGUGCGAUGUCCAUAGCUGGUGAUCUUUGUUCAUCGUAGAUGAGGAGUUAGAGCCAAGAGCUCAGAGUAAACUGCCAGUGCUUCCCCUGAGAGAUGGAGUUAGUAGGAAGUUCACUGAUACUGCCCCUAUGAUACAGAGAAUUUAUCUUUUUGCAUUUAUGUUUGUAUGUGUGUCCAUACAUAUGUAUAGGUGCAUAUGAAUGUGUACAUACACACAGAUAUAGGUGCCAGAGGUUGAGAUAGGGUCUCUCACUGAACCCGGAGCUCACAGUCUAGUUAGGCUGCCUGGCCAACCAACUCCAGGGAUCCGCUUGUCUCUGCUUCCCUAGUGUUAGCAUUACUGCUAUGCCUGACUUUAUAUGUGAACACUGGAAAUCCAAACUCAGGUCCUCAGAAUGCACAGCAUACACUACCGCCAGACUGUCUCCACAGCCUGAGGGUCUGAAUGCUGGUCAAAUUUCAUAAUCUCUAAGAAGCUCUGGAAAUACCAGUUCUUGCUGUUCUCCAAGAUUCAAACUUAAUUGAUCUGGAGCGGGGACUACAGAUGGGAAAAGAGAACUUUCAAAUACAGCAUCAAGGUAUAGUCAGGGCUGAGAGUUACUCGUGUAAAAGAACAUGUUCAAAGGCUUUCAAUAAUAACUUUAGAAGUAAUCUAGACUGCUCAAUCAGGCAACAAGGAGCCCAUAUAAACUCUGGAAGGUACACCGCUCUGUUCCUGUUGCAGAGGCCCAUCAUGGCCCAUAGGCACUCACUAAUUGAAGAAAGCUCACUGGAAUUCCUCUGCUUCAGAAAACACCUUUUCCUCAUCGAUUUCAGCUGACAUGUGGGAUUUUUGUAAUUUUGGUGUUCUGUUGGUGCACUGACGCUAGAGGUAGGAUUUUGGGUAACGUUUAAACACAUCUAAAACGUCCCAGCAUUUGGGAAGAGGUGAUUUGGCUCAGUAGAUAAAGGUGCUGGCCUGAGUUUGGUCUCUGGAAUCCAUGGUAGGUGGAGAGAGAGAAGCAAGUGACUCCCACUUUUUGUCCUCUGGCCUCCACCAGCAUGGCAGAGCUCAGGCGCCUCCUAACCCCACUCCAAAUUAAUGCAGUAAUUAAUAUAACAAAUAAGUUUUCUAGGAAGUGUAGACUCUAAGUCUGAUUAUUCUUAAACCUCAGUGGUGAGUGGGUAGGGCAUAGAUGAGGCUCUCAAUAGCAAAUACUCCUGAUGUGAAAGCAAACUUGUAUUCUAAAGGUUGAGUCUCUCUUACUGAUUAUUACUUACUCUGGUCAGUAUGGGAUGUUGGUAGUUAGAGUGGUGUGGUGUGAGCUGAUCCAAGAAGGGACUGUGGUAUCCUCCAAGAGUCACAUAUAACUUGCUAAAAUUCUUCUCCCUUGAGUUGGGAAUAACCCUUCAGAACUUUUAUCUAUGGCAUCUAUUUGAUCUUUUGUGUUAUAGAUGAGGGAACAGGGGAAAGGAACAAGAGAGGGUGGGAUAUUUGUCCAGAAGGGACAGAGAACUGUCUCUGGAUAGAGAGGAGACAGACAUGGCCUGUAGGCAAAUGCAGCUUAUAAAGAAAAAAAGGGAGGACCCUUUGUAAGGAUGAGGUGUUUAAUUGGACAUGUUAACCAGGGUAUCCAAAAGGAAUUCUUUUGAUUGCUGGGCUUUAGUACUUCUGAUGGCUGGAUCUUGGUGGUCACUCUCAGGAGGAGGAAGUGGCCAAAUAAGGGGACAGUCCUUGGGGUAGCUUUAGGGAUGUGAUCUAAUGUUUUAGCAAGGCUGAGGGAAUGGGGGAAGGGGCAAGGCCUGCCAGAGCCAAGCUUGGCCUGCUUGGACCUGCUAGAACUUUUUACUAUUGCGGUCUGCAAAACUCCCUCAAGUCCAGCACAGUAACUCAAACAUCACUUUAUUCCAUUCACAUUUUAUCACAAAUUAAGGCAGGCUUUUGCCUCUGUACAUGCUACCUGGGGCCCCCAGUCGAUGUGACUUACGUGGUUGGCAUCCUUGUCUGAGGAAAAUGACACCCAUCUGAGGCUACACGGGAUUCCUUCAGGACUUGGAUUCCCUCCCUUCUUCUAAAUGAUCACUUCACUAAAGGGCCAGUCUAUAAUAAUAUUGGGUGUGUACCGUCUCCUCAGGCUCAUGUGCUGAAUGCUUAUUUCCCAGAUAGGGAAGUGUCCUAGUUUGCUCGCUAUAGCUGUGAUAAACACCAUGACCAAAAUCACCUUGGGGAGGAAUGAUUUAUUUUAUCCCACAGUUGACAGUCUAUCAUCCAGGGCAGUGAGGGCGGAGCCCAGAGGCAGGAGCUGUGCAGAGCCCAUGGAGGAGUGAUACUUAUGGCUUGCUUUCCGGUAAGGCUGCUGGCUCAGCCUGCUUUUUUUACAGCUCAGAACUGCCUGCCCAGGAGUGACACCACCUACAAUAGGUUGGGCCUCCCCACAUCAAUCAUCAAGGAAGAUAAUCAGGAAAAGCUCCACAGACAGGUUUAUAUCAGGCCAGUCUGAUAGAGGUAUGUUCUCCCCAGUUCAGGUCCCCUUUUCGCACAGUGUGUGUCUAGUUGACAAAAAAACAACCAACCAA